rnacentral:rRNA from 1 species
UACGUAGGGUGCGAGCGUUGUCCGGAAUUAUUGGGCGUAAAGAGCUCGUAGGCGGUCUGUCGCGUCGGCUGUGAAAACCCGGAGCUCAACUCCGGGCCUGCAGUCGAUACGGGCAAACUGGAGUGUUGCAGGGGAGACUGGAAUUCCUGGUGUAGCGGUGAAAUGCGCAGAUAUCAGGAGGAACACCAAUGGCGAAGGCAGCUCGCUGGGACGGUACUGACGCUGAGACGCGAAAGCGUGGGGAGCAAACAGG